rnacentral:lncRNA from 1 species
UUUUGACUUGUUUAGGACCACAAAUUCCAAAAGUCUUUCAUUUUUUCUUAAACUUCGUGUCCAGUCAAACAGGUUCACAUAAAUUUGAACGGAGGGAGUAAGUACUAAUUCUCUUUGAACCAUAAAAGAAACAAGAAAUAUCAUAUAAAAUAGAAUAGAGGGUAGGAAAUUAGUAACUUACUACAAACAGGUUUGCAAGAGACACAGUCAACUUGACAACCACCAGAGCAAGAGGCAGGGCAUGAAAAUUCGAGAUUAUAACAACUUGGGUAGUUCUUGUUCUUGCACUUAGCCUUCUUGGUUGAAGGAGAAGGAGUGGGUGGCUUAGGAGAGGGUGGUGGAGAUGACGGUGGUGGUGGAGAUGAAGGUGGGGGAGAUGACGGUGGUGGUGGAGAUGAGGGUGGUGGGGGAGAUGAAGGUGGUGGAGAUGACGGUGGUGGUGGAGAUGAAGGUGGGGGAGAUGACGGUGAUGGUGGAGAUGAGGGUGGUGGUGGAGAUGAUGGUGGUGGAGAUGACGGUGGUGGAGAUGACGGUGGAGGUGGAGAUGACGGCGAUGGAUAAUAGGGUGGUGGCACUGAGCCAUCAACACAGAUAGGCUUGCAAGAACGACACUCAGUUAUGCAGCCAUUGGGACAAAAUUUGGGACAAACAUGUGGAAGAUUUUUACAUUGCUUGAUUUCAUCAUCUGAGCAAUGAGAAUGGCUUGGAUGGUCAGCUAUUCCAGGGGGAGUUGCCUCUGCCAUUGCUAUAAGCAUUAGCAACACAAUCCCAAAGAGGGCCACACAUCUAGCCAUUUGCAGUUAAUUGAGGAACUUUCACUACUGCUAAUUAAUAAUUGAUGUAUAUUUCAAAUAUUUGAG